rnacentral:tRNA from 1 species
GGGUAUAGCUCAAGUGGUAGAGCAUAUGCUUAGUAUGCAAAAGGUCCUGGGUUCAAUCCCCAGUACUUCCA